CUUUUUGAUUGGAAAUUUUUACAAAAUAUACAAUAUCAGAGAAUGCAAUAAAAUUAGAUUAUGUUGAUAAAUUUAAAUAAUAUGCAAUUAAUAGUUAUUAAAAUUGAAGAAUGCUUCAGGAGGUUUUUUAUUGGCCUUGUUUGCAUACCAAUUCCAUUGAUGAUCCACUUCCAAAUGACCUUGGAUGACCUUAGCUCAAAAACACCCCUCUUUCCAAAUAAAACAGGAACUGUGAUUGUUUUGAUAUUGGGAAAAGAUUUAUGGUUGUCUGAAAUUGUUUUUUUUUGUCUAUUUAUAUAAUUUUGAUAGAAGUAUCUAAUUAUAUAAUAAUUUAUUAAAAAUUGGCACAUAUAAUGUACAAAAAUGAUUUUUUUCCAUUAUAGAAGACUUAUCAGAAAUAAAAACUUAAUUCAAUCAGAAGAUGUA
rnacentral:lncRNA from 1 species